UCCUCGGUGGCUCAGAUGGACAGAGCGUCUGCCAUGCAAGCAGGAGGUGCCGGGUUCGAGCCCCGGUCGGGGUA
rnacentral:tRNA from 1 species